CCUACGGGCGGCAGCAGUGGGGAAUAUUGCACAAUGGGCGCAAGCCUGAUGCAGCCAUGCCGCGUGUGUGAAGAAGGCCUUCGGGUUGUAAAGCACUUUCAGCGGGGAGGAAGGCGUUAAGGUUAAUAACCUUGGCGAUUGACGUUACCCGCAGAAGAAGCACCGGCUAACUCCGUGCCAGCAGCCGCGGUAAUACGGAGGGUGCAAGCGUUAAUCGGAAUUACUGGGCGUAAAGCGCACGCAGGCGGUCUGUCAAGUCGGAUGUGAAAUCCCCGGGCUCAACCUGGGAACUGCAUUCGAAACUGGCAGGCUAGAGUCUUGUAGAGGGGGGUAGAAUUCCAGGUGUGGCGGUGAAAUGCGUAGAGAUCUGGAGGAAUACCGGUGGCGAAGGCGGCCCCCUGGACAAAGACUGACGCUCAGGUGCGAAAGCGUGGGGAGCAAACAGGAUUAGAUACCCGGGUAGUC
rnacentral:rRNA from 1 species